UACGUAGGGUCCGAGCGUUGUCCGGAAUUAUUGGGCGUAAAGGGCUCGUAGGCGGUUCGUCACGUCGGGAGUGAAAACUCGGGGCUUAACCCCGAGCCUGCUUCCGAUACGGGCAGACUAGAGGUAGGCAGGGGAGAGCGGAACUCCUGGUGUAGCGGUGGAAUGCGCAGAUAUCAGGAAGAACACCGGUGGCGAAGGCGCCUUGCUGGCCAAUUUCUGACGCUGAGGCGCGAAAGCGUGGGGAGCAAACAGG
rnacentral:rRNA from 1 species